GAAAUUUGAGUGAAUACUCUUAAGAAUUAUUAUUACUCCCCACUCAAGUGUUUUACAAUGAAGGGAGAGGCCUUUAUUUAUAAUUGAGCCUCCUCAAAUCCAACGGUAUAGAUCAAUUACAUCAAUGGCUAAGAUUAAAGGGUAUCUACAAAUUAAAUCUCUAAGAUUACAAAAUCAUAUCUUCUAAGCAUACCAUAUCUAAGAUUGCAUAUAUCAUAUCUAAGAUUGCAUAUCCUUGAAGAUUAUGUUUCCAUAGGCUUGUAGAUGGACCUUCAACCUUUUCAAGUAAUGGGUCAUUCCGAUCGGGCCAAAUGAUAUAAUUUUGGACUGGACUUGGACUUUGUUUUAUUAUUUUGGGUUUAUUAAUUUUUUGUGAGCCCGGGCUAAAUUGGCCUAUUACAGCUGCCCCUCUUUGCUCAUUGUCAUGUAACGAGAAUGGAGCAAAGACUAUAAAAGGGCCAAUUUUGCCCGAUCGUGUUGGACAUUGGUGUGCUUCUUCUUCAAGUAGCCUCUUCCUGACCCAUUGUAGCUUUAGGGAGAUAAGGCUCACUUCCUUCAACCUAUUCCACUGCAACUUCAGGGAGAUAAGAUUGAUAUCUUCAACUGGCUCCACUGUAACUUCAGGGAGAUAAGGUUGGUUAUCUUCAGUCUUGAUCUACUCCACUGCAACGUUAUGGAAACAAGAUUCGCUACCUUGAGCUUUAAUCUAUUCUACUGUAAUGACAAGGAGAUAAGAUUCGCUGCCUUCUAUCUUCUCCAUUACUACUUAGGGAUACAGGAUCUACAAUCUUCGACCUACUCCACUGCUGCUCAGGGAGAAGGGAUUGGUGGCUUAAAUUUGCUUCCCUACUACCUUGGGAAGAUAGGAUUUGCUGCCUUCGAUCUGGUCCACUACUUCUUAGGGAGACAGGAUCUACAAUCUUCAACCUACUCCACCGCUGCUCAAGGAGAUAGGACUGGUGGCUUAAAUCUGCUUCCCUACUACCUUGGGAAUAUAAGAUUUACCAUCUUCGAUCUGCUCCACACUGCUUAGGGAGACAAGAUCUACAAUCUUCAAUCUACUUCACUGCCAAUACAUGAAGACAAGAUCUGUUAUCUUCAAUCUACUUCGCUGCCAAUACAGGAAGACAAGAUUUGCUAUUUUCGAUCUACUUCGCUGCCAAUACAGGAAGACAAGAUUUGCUAUCUUCGCUACGAGUACAAGAAGACAACAUCUAGAGCAGAAGAAAAUAGUGUUUCUUCCGCAACUAGGUUCUGAUUGGAACCGGUUGGUAGAGUCUCCAUGCAAAGGUAUCUCAUGGGACCUCAUGGGACCUCAUGGGACAAUGGAGGAAGAAAAGGUCUAGAGCAGAAGAUGAUUAAUUGUAAAUAAACUAGUACCGAUCCCACGUAGACCUGAUUUAAGCAGAAGACGAUUAAUUGUGAAGAAACUAGUAUUGAAAAUAAUUGUAUUAUUUCUUAAGAAUGUUAUAUUUAUCAUUUUAAAAAUAAUUUAAAAUAAUAUUUAAAAUUAAAUAAGAUAUUUUAUUUCUCGGUUACCUUGUGCACAAUGCUUGCAAUGUGGUCGUUGUCAUUUAAAAGAACAUUCAGAUUAGGAUCCAUGGAAUGGUUGGCGGUCGUCGGCGAUGGUUAAGCGUGAACAGCAGCAGUCGUCGGCAGUGGUUGAGAGUGGCGGUGGACGGAAUGGCCUAUUUAUAGUGGGGGACCAUUUGAAAGGGGGGCAAAAUUGGAAAAAAAUUUAAUACUUCUGACACACUUUUUUUUUUCAUUCAAUUUGAUUUAUUUCAUUUAAUUUUAAGCACUCAAUUUUAUGACACACUUUUUUUUCUACCAAUCUGAUUUAUUUCAUUCAAUCUGACACACUUUCUUUUUUUUUUUCAUUCAAUUUUAAGCAUGCCAACAUCUGACACACUUUUUUUUUUCAUUCAUUUCAAUGUUUUUUCUACAUCUAACACCCUUUUUUUUUCAUUCAAUCUCAUUUAUUUCAAUUUUAUUUUUCUAUAUCUAACACC
rnacentral:lncRNA from 1 species